UACGGAGGAUGCGAGCGUUAUCCGGAUUUAUUGGGUUUAAAGGGUGCGUAGGCGGGCUUUUAAGUCAGCGGUAAAAAUUCGGGGCUCAACCCCGCCCGGCCGUUGAAACUGGGGGUCUUGAGUGGGCGAGAAGAAGGCGGAAUGCGUGGUGUAGCGGUGAAAUGCAUAGAUAUCACGCAGGACCCCGAUUGCGAAGGCAGCCUUCCGGCGCCCUACUGACGCUGAGGCACGAAAGUGCGGGGAUCGAACAGG
rnacentral:rRNA from 1 species